AACGCACGAGACCUGCGGACCUGCGGAGGGAUCAUUACAGAGUUCGUGCCCUCACGGGUAGAUCUCCCACCCUUGUGUAUUCCUUACAUUUGUUGCUUUGGCAGGCCGUUGGUUCGCCAACCACCGGCUCGCGGGCUGGUGCGUGCCUGCCAGAGGACCUCUCAAACUCGGUUUGUUAGUGUCGUCUGAGUAUCAUAAACAAUCGUUAAAACUUUCAACAACGGAUCUCUAGAUCGGAAG
rnacentral:misc_RNA from 1 species